GCUGGGUGCAGUGGCGCACCCUGUUAUCCCAGCUCCGUGGGACACUGAGGCAGGAGGAUGGCUUGAGUCCAAGAGUUCUGGGCCAUAGUGCACUAUGUCCAUCAGGUGUCUGUUCACACUAAGUUUUGCAUCCAUAUGGUGCCCUCCUGGGAGCUGGGGGACCACCAGGUUGACUAAGGAGUGGUGAAUUAGCCCAGGUUGGAAUCUGAGCAGGUUAAAACUCCUGUGCUGAUCAGUAGUAAAACUGUGCCUGUGAAUAGCCACUGCACUCUGGCCUGGAUAACAUAGUGAGACCCUGUCUCUU
rnacentral:SRP_RNA from 2 species